rnacentral:rRNA from 1 species
UACGGAGGGUGCGAGCGUUGUCCGGAAUCACUGGGCGUAAAGGGCGCGUAGGCGGCCUGAUAAGUCGGGGGUGAAAUCCUGCGGCUUAACCGCAGGGCUGCCUUCUAAACUGUCAGGCUAGAGCACAGUAGAGGCAGGUGGAAUUCCCGGUGUAGCGGUGGAAUGCGUAGAGAUCGGGAAGAACAUCAGUGGCGAAGGCGGCCUGCUGGGCUGUUGCUGACACUGAGGCGCGACAGCGUGGGGAGCAAACAGG